GGGCUGCGAUACCGUGAGGUGGAGCGAAUCCCUUAAAGCCGGUCUCAGUUCGGAUCGGGGUCUGCAACUCGACCCCGUGAAGUCGGAGUCGCUAGUAAUCGCCAGAUCAGCAACGCUGCGGUGAAUACGUUCCCGGGCCUUGUACACACCGCCCGUCACGUCAUGAAAGUCGGUAACACCCGAAGACCGGUGGCCGUAACCUUGUGGAGGGAGCCGUCGAAGGUGGGAUCGGCGAUUGGCGACGAAGUCGCUAACAGAGGUAGCCGUACCGGAAGGUGCGGCUGGAUCACUCCUUUCUAA
rnacentral:rRNA from 1 species